GGAUAUAUCACCAUACCUAGCUUCCAUCUUUUUGCCACGUAUUGCCGGCCCCCAUACGUACUCAACCCUAUAAAUCAAACCCUUACAUUUCAGAGUUGAAUCGUUUAAGAAAAAAUGCCAGACCAUCCACCACCACCACACGGCGGCCACGGUCACGCACCACCCCCAGGUCCGGGACACCACGAGCCUCCUCCGCCCCAUGGCCAUGCUCCUCCUCCGGGGCCUCAUGCACCUCCUCCGGGACCCCAUGCACCUCCUCCGGGACCCCAUGCACCUCCUCCGGAACCCCAUGCACCUCCUCCGGGACCCCAUGCACCUCCUCAUGAUCCACACAAGCCACAUGACUGUCACCACGGUCACCACCACCCAUGAACCGAACUAGUCAUGAGGCCACGAUCGAGAAGCUAGUCUCAGCAAGUUGUUAUCUAUUUAUCUUUGUGCCUGUAAUGUGAUCUAGCUGCGGUUGUAGUUCUGAGUUGCUGGGUUUACUGGCUUUGCUCCAUUGAUCUCAUCGUUAUGUAAUGACUAAAAUAUGAGGACUAUGUAUGUAUCCAAAAGAAGGCUGAUCAUAUAUGUAUAAUAAGAAGAGUACUGGCUUUGUGGUUUAUGUAUAAUCCGCUUGUGUAAAACUUCUUCUUUUAUCCGUCUAAAUGUGAUGUAUAAUCAGAAAAUAUGGCCAGUUUGUCAUCUUGACCAACCUGAACUUACAAACUAAUUAAUUAAGUCAAUCUCCCCAAUUUCAUCAAUCUUCAUUAGGAUUUCAUCACUAGCUCAUUCCUUCACAGAUAAUUAACCAUUUGCUCGAUUGCUCUUAACAAACUGUAAUAGCCAAGAGGCAAACGCAUCCAUCUAAAUUCUAAAAAGUUAUUAACACAGGCUAGGGGUAAAUUAUCCUUUGUUCAGACCAAUCUCACAGUUGAAGCGAUGAAUUGGCUAAAACAAAAGCCUACGGGCAGAAAAACAAAGCAUCUCUAUUCGUACGGAAGAAUGACUUCCAUAUAUAGUAAGCCUUAUAGUUAUAACACCGUAAGUGUAUAAGAAUAGGAAUUCAUAAACGCAAUAAGAAGAAGACCGUGAAAGAGAUCGAAGAUUAAAGCAGGCCUUAAUGUCUUGUAUAUUCUGUACAAAAUUUCAACAGCCAGAUUUUCUCGAUGCAUUCGUCAGCUUCUGUUUGUAACCUUUCUUCUGUCAAAUCCUCCAUGGCUUUUCACGAGCAAUAAUUCUUGCAAGGUCCCAUUAACAAGCCUCACGUACGUUGUUCUUAUCUCCUUUUCCUUAGCUCACCAAGAAUUCAACUAUUACCAAGUGCAGCAACUAGUUUCUGUGAUCGAUCUACGGAAAGUUAAAGUUAUUGCUCAAAAGAGAAAGAGAAAACGGAAGUUAAAGUUCCAUGCUGCCCUAGUUCAAGUACGCACUCAGUUAUGAUCUUGUGGUUCUUACAAUGGAUGAAUGGAUGAAGCAUUACCACACAAAUACUCAGAAGAGAAAAACAAAACAACCACAGUGCACGAUUAACAUGCUAGCUAGCUUUCAUUGUGUGCAAAUAUCCUGAGCUACCAUUCCACCAAAACAAGCUAAAUAAGUUUAUCCUUGUAUGGAUAUUAUGUGAAUCGAAAUAAUUGUAUAUUUGAUUCUUAGAUAUUAUGUGGCACCUAUUACAACGAAGCAUGUGCCAUAUUCUGAAGAUAAUGUCGACACAUCUGAAUCAUCUAGAGCCCGUACCGACACCUUUCUCCUAUAAAAUCAACUCCUACUAGCUUAAACUCUUCAACAGUUCGCCACAUCAAGAACAACUUUCUUUUUGUUUAUACAAGCUAGUAGUCUCACCAAGAAUUCGAAGAUGCAUCACGGUGAUCAUCACGGCGGACCACCACACCACGGAGGAGGUCCGGGAGGAGGUCCGGGAGGUCCAGGAGGCGGCCCUCAACAUGGUCAUGGUCAUCAAGGAGCUCCGGGAGGAGGGCAUGGAGGACCAGGAGGAGGAGGGCAUGGAGGGCAAGGAGGAGGAGGACACGGAGGACCAGGAGGAGGAGGACAUGGAGGAGGAGGAGGAGGAGGACGAGGGGGGAGGAGGAGGACAUGGAGGAGGAGGAGGAGGAGGACGAGGGAGGAGGAGGAGGAGGACAUGGAGGAGGAGGAGGACGACGGAGGGCAUGGUGGUCACUGAUCAUGGCGCUAGACUACGUAUACUACUUGUGGUGUACUAGCUGGCUGAAUAAGUCUCUCUAUGUGACUUCUGUAGUAUUGUUUGUGUGUUAUCAUUUCCUAGUUGGGUCGAUCAGAUCCUAGAUAGUGAAGCUAGCUAGGGGAGUCGAUCUUGUGUUUGGAGUCUGUUAAUUAAUGUAUGUGUAUGGAUGUGUAAUAAAACCAUACUAGCUAUGUAUUUGAUUCGAGGCUUAACAUAUAUUGCAUGCAGCUAUAUAUAUAUAUAUAUAUAUAAUAUCCUUAGAUGACUAAGAACAUAAGAAACAGAGCAGUACUAUUGAUGAUUUACAAGAUUCAAUUUGUAUAAGUGAUCUUUGGCUUGUCCUAAUUAACCAUCAAGCAAAGCGCUAAGAACGAACAUAUUAUAUAUACUGCCAGAUGAUCAAGCAACUUUGCAGAGGGAUCAUGACGAAAUGUCCAUCUAGCAGCUUAAAUGCUUAAUUAGAACAAUUUUGCAAAACAAACACAAACUUGUAUAAUACGGUACCGAAAAUAUAAGUAUAACCGUUUGAAAUGUCAAGUUUAUCAAUCUUAUGAAAUCGAAGUAUCGUAAAUCGAUAAUGAUCUUCUUCAAAACUAGAACGAGAAUGUAACGUGUCUAUAUGACACUAUAAAUGUCUACGAAAUCAUGCGUUAAGAACAUAAUAUUAUAUUCCUUCGUUUUUUACUAAAGAAUAUCAUUACCGUUAAGCUUUAAUUGACAUACGUACGAUUGUACUUUGUAGUGAUACAUCUAAUUAUAUUGGUCGUGUGGUGCCCUUAGUAUAUUAAAAGGAAAAAACUAAAGAGACCAAAAGGCCCAAAGGAAACCACAGAAAUUGUCAUAAAGGUACAAGUGCAGCCCAACUUUCNNNNNNNNNNNNNNNNNNNNNNNNNNNNNNNNNNNNNNNNNNNNNNNNNNNNNNNNNNNNNNNNNNNNNNNNNNNNNNNNNNNNNNNNNNNNNNNNNNNNNNNNNNNNNNNNNNNNNNNNNNNNNNNNNNNNNNNNNNNNNNNNNNNNNNNNNNNNNNNNNNNNNGUCCUGAUCAUCACCUUCCUUGCCUAUGCUUCCUUCCACGCCUCCAGGAAGCCCCCCAGCAUCGUCAAGAGUGUUCUUGGCCCCAAACUCCUGUCCAAUUCGAGCUCUUUCGACACCGGUUGGGCUCCCUUUAAUGGCCCUGAUGGCACUCACAGGCUUGGAGAACUUGAUCUUGCAUUUCUAUCUGCAUAUUCUAUUGGAAUGUAUUUUGCAGGGCAUGUUGGUGAUAGGAUUGAUUUGAGGUUGUUUCUUGCUUAUGGGAUGUUAGGGAGUGGAGUUUUGACUUGUCUUUUCGGGUUAGGUUAUUGGUGCAAUGUGCAUAUGUUGUGGUACUUUGUGGGUGUGCAAGUUGUGUGUGGGUUGUUUCAGUCAAUAGGGUGGCCUUCUGUUGUGGCAGUUGUGGGGAAUUGGUUUAGGGUUUAGACAGCGGCCAUCACACGCCGGCCACGGUCACGCACCACCCCCAGGUCCGGGACACCACGAGCCUCCUCCGCCCCAUGGCCAUGCUCCUCCUCCGGGGCCUCAUGCACCUCCUUCGGGACCCCAUACACCUCCUCCGGAACCCCAUGCACCUCCUCCGGGACCCCAUGCACCUCCUCAUGAUCCACACAAGCCACAUGACCCGCACCACGGUCACCACCACCCAUGAACCGAACUAGUCAUGAGGGAUCACGAAGCUAGCUAGUCUCAGCAAGUUGUUAUCUAUUUCUGCCUGUAAUGUGAUCUAGCUGCGCUUGUAGUUCUGAGUUGCUGGGUUUACUGGCUUUGCUCCAUUGAUCUCAUCGUUAUGUAAUGACUAAAAUAUGAUGACUAUGUAUGUAUCCAAAAGAAGGCUGAUCAUAUAUGUAUAAUAAGAAGAGUACUGGCUUUCUGGUUUAUGUAUAAUCCGCUUGUGUAAAACUUCUUCUCUGUUAUCGGUCUAAAUGUGAUGUAUGAUCAGAAAAUAUGGUCAGUUUGUCCUCUUGACCAACCUUAACUUACAAACUAAUUAAGUCAAUCUCCCCAAUUUCAUCAAUCUUUAUUAGGAUUUCAUCACUCAUUCCUUCACAGAUAAUUAACCACACAUCCAAGCUGCAUUUGCUCGAUUGCUCUUAACAAACUGUAAUAAUUAACCAAGAGGCAAACGCAUCCAUCUAAAGUCUAAAAAUUAAGUUAUUAACACAAGGUUAAAUUAUCCAUUGUUCAGACCAAUCUCACAGUUAGAGCGAUGAAUUGGCUAAAACAAAAACCUACGGGAG
rnacentral:lncRNA from 1 species